rnacentral:rRNA from 1 species
AGUGAACGCUGGCGGUGUGCCUAAUACAUGCAAGUCGAACGGCAGCACAGUAAGCUCUCGUCUCUACUGGUGGCGAGUGGCGGAUGGGUGAGGAAUACAUCGCAAACCUCUAUUUCUUGGGGGACUACGGAAGGCAACUUAUGCUAACACCGCAUAUUUUCUACGGCUUAAUUCAGAGGAUCUUCGCACUUUUGCUGUCUCUAUUAGCCGAAUCCGCGUUGCAUUAGCGAGUUGGUAAGGUAACGGCUUACCAAGGCAACGAUGCAUAGCUGAUCUGAGAGGGUGAUCGGCCACACUGGAACUGAGACACGGUCCAGACUCCUACGGGAGGCAGCAGUAGGGAAUAUUGCACAAUGGGCGAAAGCCUGAUCCAGCAAUGCCGCGUGAGUGAUGAAGGUCUUCGGAUCGUAAAGCCCUUUUGUUGGGGAAGAAAAGCUGCGGAUGUAACUGCGGAUAUCUUGACGGUACCCAAUGAGAAAGCACCGGCUAACUUCGUG